rnacentral:rRNA from 1 species
UACAGAGGUCUCAAGCGUUGUUCGGAUUCAUUGGGCGUAAAGGGUGCGUAGGCGGCGCGGUAAGUCGGGUGUGAAAUCUCGGAGCUUAACUCCGAAACUGCAUUCGAUACUGCGGUGCUUGAGGACUGGAGAGGAGACUGGAAUUCAUGGUGUAGCAGUGAAAUGCGUAGAGAUCAUGAGGAAGACCAGUGGCGAAGGCGGGUCUCUGGACAGUUCCUGACACUGAGACACGAAGGCCAGGGGAGCAAACGGG